rnacentral:rRNA from 1 species
GACGAACGCUGGCGGCGUGCUUAACACAUGCAAGUCGAACGGAAAGGCCCUGCUUUUGUGGGGUGCUCGAGUGGCGAACGGGUGAGUAACACGUGAGUAACCUGCCCUUGACUUUGGGAUAACUUCAGGAAACUGGGGCUAAUACCGGAUAGGAGCUCCUGCUGCAUGGUGGGGGUUGGAAAGUUACGGCGGCUGGGGAUGGACUCGCGGCUUAUCAGCUUGUUGGUGGGGUAGUGGCUUACCAAGGCUUUGACGGGUAGCCGGCCUGAGAGGGUGACCGGCCACAUUGGGACUGAGAUACGGCCCAGACUCCUACGGGAGGCAGCAGUGGGGAAUAUUGCACAAUGGGCGGAAGCCUGAUGCAGCAACGCCGCGUGCGGGAUGACGGCCUUCGGGUUGUAAACCGCUUUCGCCUGUGACGAAGCGUGAGUGACGGUAAUGGGUAAAGAAGCACCGGCUAACUACGUG